UUCCUACGGGAGGCAGCAGUGAGGAAUAUUGGACAAUGGGUGAAAGCCUGAUCCAGCCAUCCCGCGUGAAGGAUGACGGUCCUAUGGAUUGUAAACUUCUUUUGUACAGGGAUAAACCUACUCUCGUGAGGGUAGCUGAAGGUACUGUACGAACAAGCACCGGCUAACUCCGUGCCAGCAGCCGCGGUAAUACGGAGGGUGCAAGCGUUAUCCGGAUUUAUUGGGUUUAAAGGGUCCGUAGGCGGACCUGUAAGUCAGUGGUGAAAUCUCAUAGCUUAACUAUGAAACUGCCAUUGGUACUGCAGGUCUUGAGUAAAUUUGAAGUGGCUGGAAUAAGUAGUGUAGCGGUGAAAUGCAUAGAUAUUACUUAGAACACCAAUUGCGAAGGCAGGUCACUAAGAUUUAACUGACGCUGAUGGACGAAAGCGUGGGUAGCGAACAGGAUUAGAUACCCUGGUAGUCCACGCCGUAAACGAUGCUAACUCGUUUUUGGAUUUUCGGAUUCAGAGACCAAGCGAAAGUGAUAAGUUAGCCACCUGGGGAGUACGUUCGCAAGAAUGAAACUCAAAUGAAUUGACGGAA
rnacentral:rRNA from 1 species